rnacentral:rRNA from 1 species
CCUGGUGCUUAUGGUGCAAUGGCCCCACUCCGAUUCCAUCCCGCACUCGGUUGUGAAACGUUGCUACGGCUACGAUACUUUGGGGGUUGCCCCACGGGACAAUAGCUCAGUGCCAGGU